GACGUAGGAGGCGAGCGUUAUCCGGAUUCACUGGGCGUAAAGCGCAUGUAGGCGGUUGUGUAAGUCCGAUGUUAAAGCCCCUGGCUCAACUGGGGGGAGGUCAUUGGAGACUACUCGACUUGAGGGCAACAGAGGCACGUGGAACUCCCGGUGUAGCGGUGGAAUGCGUAGAGAUCGGGAAGAACACCAGUGGCGAAGGCGACGUGCUGGGUUGCAACUGACGCUGAGAUGCGAAAGUGUGGGGAGCAAAACGGG
rnacentral:rRNA from 1 species